rnacentral:rRNA from 2 species
GGAUCAAUAUUUCGGUCAUGCCGUUGGUAUGCACUGUUAUCAUUGAUUUCUCACCUUCUAAAGAACCGUAAUGCCAUUAAUUUGGUGUUACGGGGAAUUAGGACUGUUACCUUGAAAAAAUUAGAGUGUUUAAAGCAGGCUCACGCUUGAAUACAUUAGCAUGGAAUAAUGAAAUAGGACAUCCGAUUCUAUUUUGUUGGUUUCUAGGAUCGAUGUAAUGAUUAAUAGGGAUAGUUGGG